rnacentral:rRNA from 1 species
CCUACGGGAGGCUGCAGUGAGGAAUAUUGGUCUAUCGGCGUGCGACUGAACCAGCCAAGUAGCGUGAAGGAUGACUGCCCUACUGGUUGUAAACUUCUUUUAUAAAGGAAUAAAGUGAGGCACGUGUGCCUUUUUGUAUGUACUUUAUGACUAAGGAUCGGCUAACUCCGUGCCAGCAGCCGAGGUAAUACGGAGGAUCCGAGCGUUAUCCGGAUUUAUUGGGUUUACAGGGAGCGUAGAUGGGUUGUUAAGUCAGUUGUGAAAGUUUGCGGCUCAACCGUAAAAUUGCAAUUGAUACUGGCAGUCUUGAGUACAGUUGAGGUAGGCGGAAUGCGUGGUGUAGCGGUGAAAUGCUUAGAUAUCACGAAGAACUCCGAUUGCGAAGGCAGCUUACUAAACUGCCACUGACAUUGAUGCUCGAAAGUGUGGGUAUCAAACAGGAUUAGAUACCCUAGUAGUC